AUUGAACGCUGGCGGCAGGCUUAACACAUGCAAGUCGAGCGGAGAGAGGUAGCUUGCUACUGAUCUUAGCGGCGGACGGGUGAGUAAUGCUUAGGAAUCUGCCUAUUAGUGGGGGACAACAUUUCGAAAGGAAUGCUAAUACCGCAUACGUCCUACGGGAGAAAGCAGGGGAUCUUCGGACCUUGCGCUAAUAGAUGAGCCUAAGUCGGAUUAGCUAGUUGGUGGGGUAAAGGCCUACCAAGGCGACGAUCUGUAGCGGGUCUGAGAGGAUGAUCCGCCACACUGGGACUGAGACACGGCCCAGACUCCUACGGGAGGCAGCAGUGGGGAAUAUUGGACAAUGGGCGCAAGCCUGAUCCAGCCAUGCCGCGUGUGUGAAGAAGGCCUUAUGGUUGUAAAGCACUUUAAGCGAGGAGGAGGCUACUUUAGUUAAUACCUAGAGAUAGUGGACGUUACUCGCAGAAUAAGCACCGGCUAACUCUGUGCCAGCCGCCGCAGUAAGAC
rnacentral:rRNA from 1 species